CAAUUAUUUUGUUAGUCCUACUCUACGUAGGUCAGAUCAAAUUUGUUAAAUUUGUAUUUACAGGGUGAUACCCGACACGUGGGUGUGACCCAUGCCAAAAACUUAAGAAUCGAAACUUAUGCAAUACUUUUUCAUUUGCAUUUUGUAAAACCUUAAAGCCUCCCAAAGUCACUUUCAUUUUCAGCACAAGGAAGCAAAAUCAAAACCAAACAGGCUGCCUUUCCUCUUUAAAUUAAUGGCUUCUCGCCAUUAAGUUGAGGGAAGCAGCAGGGAGAAAGCAGAGUUUGCUGGGAAAGAAAGCACAGAAUUCUGGGAAAUGUAGUUUGGGAAGACAAGGAGCCCCGUGGCAGAGAAUACAAAAGGCCUUGCCCUAAACUAUAUUUCCCAGAAUUCUGCUCAACAUCAGAAUGUCCCAGUGAGGAUAAUGGAGAGCUAUUUUCCCUCCGUAGCAGCACCCAGCAAAAGAGGUCUACAAUAAAUUCAGAAAGAAGAGAGCUCCUGUGGUAUGUAUAUUAUUUCUU
rnacentral:lncRNA from 11 species